rnacentral:rRNA from 1 species
AACAAUCCAGACCGCCAGCUAAGGCCCCAAAAUCAUAGUUAAGUGGGAAACGAUGUGGGAAGGCAUAGACAGCUAGGAGGUUGGCUUAGAAGCAGCCACCCUUUAAAGAAAGCGUAAUAGCUCACUAGUCGAGUCGGCCUGCGCGGAAGAUGUAACGGGGCUAAAACUAUGUGCCGAAGCUGCGGAUGUAUACUUUGUAUACGUGGUAGGGGAGCGUUCUGUAAGCCGAUGAAGGUGUGUUGAGAAGCAUGCUGGAGGUAUCAGAAGUGCGAAUGCUGACGUGAGUAACGACAAAACGGGUGAAAAACCCGUUCGCCGAAAGACCAAGGGUUCCAGUCCAACGUUAAUCGGGGCUGGGUGAGUCGACCCCUAAGGCGAGGCCGAAAGGCGUAGUCGAUGGGAAAAUGGUUAAUAUUCCAUUACUUCUGUGUAAUGCGAUGAGAGGACGGAGAAGGCUAAAUCAGCCUGGCGUUGGUUGUCCAGGUGAAAGGAUGUAGGCAUGUAUCUUAGGCAAAUCCGGGGUACUCUAUGCUGAGAUCUGAUAGCAAGCUGUACUUGUACAGCGAAGUGGUUGAUGCCAUGCUUCCAGGAAAAGUCUCUAAGCUUCAGUUACACAGGAAUCGUACCCGAAACCGACACAGGUGGUCAGGUCGAGUAGACCAAGGCGCUUGAGAGAACUCUGCUGAAGGAACUAGGCAAAAUGGUACCGUAACUUCGGGAGAAGGUACGCUGUUGUUGGUGAUGGAACUCGCUUCCUGAGCUGACGACAGCCGCAGAAACCAGGCCGCUGCAACUGUUUAUUAAAAACAUAGCACUCUGCAAACACGAAAGUGGACGUAUAGGGUGUGAUGCCUGCCCGGUGCUGGAAGGUUAAUUGAUGGGGUUAGCGUAAGCGAAGCUCUUGAUCGAAGCCCCAGUAAACGGCGGCCGUAACUAUAACGGUCCUAAGGUAGCGAAAUUCCUUGUCGGGUAAGUUCCGACCUGCACGAAUGGCAUAAUGAUGGCGGCGCUGUCUCCAGCAGAGGCUCAGUGAAAUCGAAAUCGCUGUGAAGAUGCAGUGUACCCGCGGCUAGACGGAAAGACCCCGUGAACCUUUACUGCAGCUUGACACUGAACUUUGACCUUACUUGUGUAGGAUAGGUGGGAGGCUUUGAAGCUGGAACGCUAGUUCCAGUGGAGCCGUCCUUGAAAUACCACCCUGGUAAUGUUGAGGUUCUAACUCUGUCCCGUGAUCCGGGACGAGGACCGUGUCUGGUGGGUAGUUUGACUGGGGCGGUCUCCUCCUAAAGAGUAACGGAGGAGUACGAAGGUGCGCUCAGCGUGGUCGGAAAUCACGCGUAGAGUAUAAAGGCAAAAGCGCGCUUAACUGCGAGACCCACAAGUCGAGCAGGUACGAAAGUAGGUCUUAGUGAUCCGGUGGUUCUGUAUGGAAGGGCCAUCGCUCAACGGAUAAAAGGUACUCUGGGGAUAACAGGCUGAUACCGCCCAAGAGUUCAUAUCGACGGCGGUGUUUGGCACCUCGAUGUCGGCUCAUCUCAUCCUGGGGCUGAAGCAGGUCCCAAGGGUAUGGCUGUUCGCCAUUUAAAGAGGUACGCGAGCUGGGUUUAGAACGUCGUGAGACAGUUCGGUCCCUAUCUACCGUGGGCGCUGGAAAUUUGAGAGGAUCUGCUCCUAGUACGAGAGGACCAGAGUGGACGAACCUCUGGUGUACCGGUUGUGACGCCAGUCGCAUCGCCGGGUAGCUAUGUUCGGAAGGGAUAACCGCUGAAAGCAUCUAAGCGGGAAGCCUACCUCAAGAUAAGAUUUCCCUAGGACUUUAUGUCCUCUAAAGAGCCGUUCGAGACUAGGACGUUGAUAGGUUGGAUGUGGAAGCAUAGUGAUAUGUGAAGCUGACCAAUACUAAUUGCUCGUGAGGCUUGACUA